AAGUUGAUGCACAAAUUGAUGAAACAUGAAGAACAUAGCAUAGCAAGAUGGUCAAGGCAAUGGUCAACGAUGGCAGACUUGUAAUUCUGGGUUCACUAAUUGAAGCUGCGCGUUUUGGCAAGGCAAAACGAAAUGUUUUGAUUGGCUCUCAGCCAAUAAAACAGUAAUGAGCCAACCAACUUAAAUUUUUGAGUUUCUAAAACCCUAGGGGUUUCUAACAGCAAAGGCAUCAUGUUCAAUGUCCAUCAUCAUCAUAAAACAAAACAAC
rnacentral:lncRNA from 1 species